rnacentral:lncRNA from 1 species
GUCUAACUGGGAUAUGAAUUUUAUUUUCUGGAAUAUGAAUUGACUUAACAGAUGCUUGGAACGUCAGAGCAGGGAUUCUAACACCUGCUUAAGUCAAUCUGGCCCAUUGCUUACUAGGAUAACUCAGCUCCCUAAGCCAGUUGCGUGGUGUGGGAGUGCAAGGGGAGGCCCUGGGCCAGGACAUGGAGGUGAUCUGUGUGAUGAUACUAACUUUGGCACCUCUGCUCAGGGAGCUGAGGCUAUGCAGGGAUUUCAGUUCAGUUACUCCAUUUGCUUCUUUUUUAAUGCCUAUCUGCCCAUCCCCCACCCCCCCCCUUUCCUACCUCUUCUACACAAAUGACUAUACUGCUGCUGCCUUACUGGCAGCUCAAUCCCUGGUAGGGAGACAAUGCCUGGAGUGUGGCCAGUAGUGGAGCCGGAGGCAGGGAAGGCGCUGAACACCCAACUCUCAACUUCCUUUCCCACUGCCCUGCCCUGCCCCUCCCUCCAUAAUCACAAUGAUGGGAGGAGAAUGUAGCAGACUCAAUGUCCCUAGUGGGGCCACCAGCAUAGCAAAUUAGAAAAAAUCUUUGGGUAGGGUAAAACUGGGACCAGAUGUUGUUGCCAAAGAGGACAAGGAGAUGAACCCAGCCAGGAAGACGAGUGGAAAGGGAUCGAGGAAGAAAGGGAAAAACGUGGAGGAUAGGGUAAAGGUGACUUCCUCUGGAAUGGAAAUUGGGACCCACUUGGGAUUGAGUAGACGUGGGAAUUGCCUGUGAUCAUCUGAAGGGCCUGGGUUCUGGAUAGCCAAUAAGAGCAUGACAAUGGGGACAGGGAGCCAAGUGGGAGGGGUGAGGACUAAGGCUCACCAGACGGCCUACAUUAAAAUAGAAUUGGCCUGGGAGGCUAGGGUGGAGAAGCCAGAGCACCAGGCCAGGGACAAAGGAGACUGCCCAACAGCUUGGAGAGGACUCAAAAAGGGACAAGGCAGACAGCCC